AUUUUGCCGGAAAUUUUGAUUAUUAUUCGGCUGCUGAUGACGGGGUAUUUAAAGGAAAGUUAACGUUCGGAUUCUGCAUCUGCGGUACAGGCACAUUGGCAUUUACCGGAAGCGGCGGCGCCUGUCCGUGCUGCAUUUGCCACUGGGGAGACUGACCGUUCUGCGGCACCAUUGGCUGGUACUGCAUGCCGUGAUUAUUUUGAUAAGCAAACUGCGGCCAUCCAGAAAGACACCAACACGCUCUUCCUCUAACAUCUGCAAUACUUCGAACCAGUGUAGGAAACUGUCCGUGUACCUGUACGAGGCGACUGUGUCAUCUGUACGGAAAAUACGGGCAUUCAUCUCGCGAUGUAAUUCAGC